rnacentral:misc_RNA from 1 species
UACGGAGGAUCCAAGCGUUGUCCGGAUUUAUUGGGUUUAAAGGGUGCGUAGGCGGCCUUGUAAGUCAGGGGUGAAAGACGGCAGCUUAACUGUCGCAGUGCCUUUGAUACUGCAGGGCUUGAACGUACUUGAAGUGGGCGGAAUGUGACAAGUAGCGGUGAAAUGCAUAGAUAUGUCACAGAACACCGAUUGCGAAGGCAGCUCACUAAAGUAUGAUUGACGCUGAGGCACGAAAGCGUGGGGAUCAAACAGG